AUCAGAUGAGUUUAUACUCUUCGAAAAUCAAAUUCAAACCACGUCAACGUCGCCUUGCCGUAUAUAUGUGACUGACUUCGUCAGUCCUAUCUACAACCUCAAAACAGUGUUUUGAGCAGCCUGCGGCUAGUUUCCUAGUUUGCUCUUUGAUUUUCAUUGAGUAUUAGG
rnacentral:sRNA from 1 species